rnacentral:tRNA from 1 species
GUGCACUCAGCUCAGUGGUUAGAGCACCCCUCUAGUGUCUGGGGAAAAUAGGUCACAGGCUUGAGUCCCAUAGUGCACA